GUGACAUGUUAGGACUCUAAUGAGUUUAAGAACUAAUGAGCCUCUUAAGUGAGCGGCAACAAACCUUUUUUUUCUCUACAUUUUAAAAAAAAACUAAAAUUCUAACCUUAUCGGUGGAUCACUAGGCUCGUGGAUCGAUGAAGAACGCAGCAAACUGCGAUAAUUAUUGCGAACUGCAGAAGUAUUGAGCACAAAAGUUUUGAACGCAAAUGGCCGCAUUGAGGUCAAACUCUUUGCACGUCUGGUUCAGGGUCAUU
rnacentral:rRNA from 1 species